CCAACCAUAGCUCAGUUGGUUUGAGCGGAGGACUGUAGUGUUGGUCAGAGAUCCUUAGGUCGCUGGUUCGAAUCCGGCUGGUUGGA
rnacentral:tRNA from 1 species